rnacentral:rRNA from 1 species
UCAGAGCGAACGCUGGCGGCAGGCCUAACACAUGCAAGUCGAACGGCUCUUCGGAGCAGUGGCGGACGGGUGAGUAACGCGUGGGAACGUGCCCUUUGGUUCGGAACAACACAGGGAAACUUGUGCUAAUACCGGAUGAGCCCUUCGGGGGAAAGAUUUAUCGCCAUUGGAGCGGCCCGCGUUGGAUUAGGUAGUUGGUGGGGUAAAGGCCCACCAAGCCGACGAUCCAUAGCUGGUCUGAGAGGAUGAUCAGCCACACUGGGACUGAGACACGGCCCAGACUCCUACGGGAGGCAGCAGUGGGGAAUCUUGCGCAAUGGGCGAAAGCCUGACGCAGCCAUGCCGCGUGAAUGAUGAAGGUCUUAGGAUUGUAAAAUUCUUUCACCGGGGAAGAUAAUGACGGUACCCGGAGAAGAAGCCCCGGCUAACUUCGUGCCAGCAGCCGCGGUAAUACGAAGGGGGCUAGCGUUGCUCGGAAUUACUGGGCGUAAAGGGCGCGUAGGCGGACAGUUUAGUCAGAGGUAAAAGCCCAGGGCUCAACCUUGGAACUGCCUUUGAUACUGGCUGUCUUGAGUUCGGGAGAGGUGAGUGGAAUGCCGAGUGUAGAGGUGAAAUUCGUAGAUAUUCGGCGGAACACCAGUGGCGAAGGCGACUCACUGGCCCGAUACU